UUUCGAAUACGUAGAUUUUAAAGCUGCAUCGAUUCUCUCCAUAUUCUGUGUUAGAUUAGGAGUAUUAUUUUAGUACUCUUAGUGUGAUAAGUUCGUGUUUAGAAGAUUUCAAUUUGUAGAAUGGAAUAAUAAUUACCUUAUUAAGAUGAGGAGAUAGUUGAGAGUGUAGAAAACAGAUCGUAACAGAAGACAAUUGUCUCUGGAUCUUAUCUAGUCAUCUAUGAUGAAUAUCACAAAUAAUGUUGAGCCAAACGUACGGAAGACAAUUUAAUCACAUUUCUGUUGAAGGCAACUGUGGUGCAGACAAAAUCUUGUUGCCCUAUGGACCCCUUAGAAUGUGUACAACAAGCUCCCAGAUCUAGAAAUGUCUGUGAAGUUCAUUAUAUAUAAAUGAUUGGCUGUAUGAACAUUACAAAUUAAUAAUAAAAACGACAAAAAUGGAGAAUCGAAGACAAUAGUAAUUAGGUCAUAUGCAAAAAUAUAUAAAGAAAAUAUUAUCAUGGUCAUAUUCAAGGCGACAUUGAAAAAACAACAUUUUUUUUCGUGCUAUAAAAAGGUUGGAAACUGACCACAUGGUUGCCUGCGUUGCGGUCCUGGCUUCAUACCCUGCCCGCUGUCUUCCCCUCUAGUUUAACACGGAAGUAACAUCACAAACAUGUCAAACAUUUUAGAAACAUUUUAAAAGUGUAAAGUGAGACAAACAAUGAGAUUGUCUUAUAAAUCACGAACAUAUUUUUCACAUUUUUACAAAAGAAUAUUUCUGCUUCCAAUGACAUGUUGUUAACUGCUGCACGACUUGAAACAGACUCAGGAGUUACCCAAUAAAGUUCGCACAGAAUCACUUGUUCCUUGGACACUUCUUUUUCCAGGAUAUAGGAUUAAUUACAUCCUAUUUUGAUUUUACGGUCUAAAUAUUUAAUGGAAUAUCCAAUUGAACUUGUUACAAGUGUAUGAUAAUGGAAACAUUUUAUAUCAAGCUGAAACAUAACAUUUUUUGACCAGUGGCAUUAACUCUCACCAGUUUAAAAAAAACGAUCUCAUUAAGUGUCAUUUUAAGUCGACAGUCUUCUUAAAAUAACACGCCUUCUAUAACAUAUGCAUCAUCCGCAAGUGUGUGUAAAGCUGUGCCAGUGACUUGAUCAAGAUGCAUCCUUAUUCCGUCAUCAUUUUUUCUGACUAUUGCUUGUGUACCGGGUAGUAACAGCUACUUGUAAAUUAUUUUUACAGAUUCCCGUAUAAACAAAAUUAAGCAUCCUGUAAUUAUGACCUUCAAUUAAUUUCACAUUUAUAAAAGUUUUCUCAUUUCAAACGUAACAGUUUAUUUUACAGAUAUCGUGACGCUUUUAGAUAUCUGUAAACCAUGGUUCUGAAGGCUGGCAAACAAAGCAAGCUUCAACUUUCACUUCCUGAUUUAAUAUGUCAGCCUGCUUGAAGCAAAAGAACUCUUGUCAAAUUUAGAUGUUAAAGAAGGCCAGUAUAUGGUCAAUCAACAAAGGACUGACUUUUUUAGCAUGUCCGCGGUGCAAACUGCAAACUUACUUGAUGAAUCGUGCACUCUCGCGAGUGUACGAUCCAUAGCCGACACCCGAUUGUUGGCACUUUGGUACGGUAGUUGGGAUGCUUUCGAUAAAGGCCGUGAGCUUCAUUGGCAGUUAAGUAGAUCAGUCCGAACUUUUAUAGUUACCAGCCACCUGGAAGACAAGCACACGAUAGGGCAUCAUGGCUCUCGCAAUUAAAACUGCCGCACAAAGUGCAGAGGACAAGAGAACAGCGCGGGCAAAAGAAAAGCGUCAGAGAAAAAAAAGCAAGGCCAAUGACAUCUGGAAGAACCUGUCCAGCGUGAAGCCAAACAUUCCAGGCUCACAAAGGUCUCACCAGCUUCAUGGGGAGUCUCAAAACCCCUGUGCAAAGCCCUUAGUCCCCUGGACGACACAAGUGGUCAUCAUUGAACCACGAUGGACGAACUAUAAAAAAGAUUUUAGAAAAUGCCAGUAUUUACCAGGAUUCAAACUUGUCAAACUUCCAUCGAAAACCGACUUUCUUAGCACUACAUCACGAACAUACAUUAUAAAUUAUACGCAACUGUGGGAAUUCUUAUAUAACUUUCUCAACAAAAAAGCUCAAAUGUGUCGUCACCCAGAAGUACAUAGAAGCCUACUUUAUAAAGCGCACAUGUGUGUAUGCAUAUAUGAGUGUGUGUGUGUGUGAUUUAUUUUACCAAUGCUAUUGUUCGUUUUCGUAUCUAUGUUGCUAUUGUUAUUGUUGUAUUGAUGAGGUAAAGGACUGUAGUCAAACUGAAGGUCUAUUUGUUUGGACCAAUUAAAGUAUCCUAUCUAUCCCCUUA